CCCUCCCUAUGCAACCCAGCGCUCAGGCAGGUAACUCCAGGCCAGAGCCACAGCCCAAACUGCUCUUUUUUAGCUGUUUAUGGUGUCUUUGGUUUUCCAUAUAAAAAAAAAAAAAGCAAAGAGCGCAGGGAAGAUCUGCUGGCUGAGGUGAGGAAGGGACCCCAGCAGCUCCUUUUCUCCCUGCAGAUGAGGUUUUACAGGCUCUGUAGAGUCACCCCAGCACUGCUCCUCACCCUGGGGCCAUAUCACUCCCUGCUCCCUUAUCAGCCACCUGUGGGUGUCCCCACCCCAUACAGGGCUCUGGGUGGGCUUGGGGCACACGGCAAAGCACAGGAGGAAUGGGGUGGGUGCCCCCGAGGAGCCCAUCCCUCCGAUUUCUGAGCAAAACAAGAACCAAAGCAGGGGAGUCCAUAAAGGGAAUAAGAAAAGACAACUACUUUUAUACGUGCACUUAAGUAUUUAGGUCAGUAUUUUUAGAAUAAAUAGCCGUGGGUUGGUUCCUAUCUUUUUCACUUUCAUUUUUUCACACUUCAGCUUCAUUUUCCUGACGCCGGGUAACUGCAGAAGCAGUUGGGUUUCUGCAAGCCCUCGCACCUCCCGGCACGCCGACCUCACCGCCUCUGGCUUCCCUCGGCCCCUCUGUCCCAUUCUUUUCCCUGGACACGGUCCGAACCUCCCACUUUUCAUGGCUGAAGGGCGACAAAGGGAAGGCUCACACCGCAGCGGGGCCAUCCCACAGCCAUGCCGCCCGGUUCCAUCCUUCUAUUCAAAGCAAAACCAUCCAGAAGGGUCCUUCGGAGCAAAGCCGUCUUCCGAGGGAAACAUUGGCAGCCUCGUUUGGCAGCGACAGCGCCUGGAUUUGCUGAAGGCCUCCAAAAUUAGAUGAGGCUUGGAAACUUGUGAUGGAUGUCACUGCGGCAGCGUGGAGGGAGGGCUCCGGCGCGGUGCUUCCCCCAGCCCGGGUGCUGCUCGGUGCCUGCUUGUCCCCAGGGCUCCCUGCAGCACAGCGGAGGCACACGCGUCGAGAAGCAGCAAUCCCGGGGUGCUAAAUGUGCUCCGCAGGGGCCGCUGCCAUGUGCCAAAGCGAUGGAGCUCCUCGUAAACGCGCCGAGCGUAGGAAACGAGCCCUCAGCGUGCCAGCAGGGAGCUGGGCUGGGGCCGCUGUGUCCCUAUGAGCUGGGGAUACGGGGGGCUCUGGGGGCACGGCGGACAAGGGGAGCAGCGGGGGCACACGCCGGGGCUGCGAGCGCGGCGUAUCCCAAAGCAAAGCUCCCCUCCUCCCCGGCUCGACGGCCGCGUCACCUCCAAGAGUUACUCACAGAUAAGCCCCAUAAAUUCGGGGCACAGCCAUUUUAUCACCGCUGGCAGCUCGGCGAGCCGCUCGCUCCAAGGUGAAGGCGAGGGAGGUGGGAGGAGAUGAUGGCAGCGGCCGGGGGCGCCAAAACCGCCUCCUCCGCGUGGGAUGAUUUAUUUCGCCACGCAGCUCCGGCCCGUUUUGCCGCAUCAUUCCCGGUGUUUUAUUGCCUCCGGCCGGGGCCGCCGCCAUCCGCCGUGCAGCACCCAGCCCUCAGCACGGCGCUGCGCCGCCGCCGGGCCCGCCCCGACCCCCGGGCCGGGAGAACACCCGCGAGGGGCGGCAGG
ensembl:lncRNA